AGCUCAGUUGGUAAAGCCGAGACUGAA
rnacentral:tRNA from 1 species